rnacentral:lncRNA from 1 species
UGGAACUCCACUUAGCAGCUAAAGUUCAUCCUCUGAAGUCUGGGAAGUCCAAGCUCAAGGUGAAGCCUCCUCAGGUGGCAAAGAGCAGAAGCACAAAAGAGACCAAACUCCCUCCCUCAAGCUCUUUUACAAGAACACUGAGACAUUCACAAGUGCUGAGUCCUCAAACCUACUAACCUCCUGAAGGCUACACCUCAAAUACGGAUUGAAUUUUCGCAUGAGUUUUGAGGGACACCCAUUCAAAGCAUAGCACCCUUCGGCUUCAGAGAAGCUCCAGCCCUGUUGUCACCAAGCAGGUUCCCCCUAGGCAGAGCGCCAAGAAGCAGCCCAGGCGAUCCCAAGGCGCACAAGUGCUCUCACCAGGCUGCGCGCUGGCGGGUCGGUGCACAGGGACGGGGUCGCCGCCCACGCGCGCUUGGUUCAGGGAGCCCAGGCUGUCCCUACCCGCGGCUACAAAAGCUCGCCGAGUCUUCCUGUCCACCCAAUCGCCCCACAUGUCAGCGGUUGGUCGCCUCGCGGUGCAGUGCUGGGCACGCGAGCCCCUCCCGCAGUCAUUCUCAGCACAAGCACCAGCCUGGAGCCCCGCAGCGACAGAGCUGAGAGCCCCCAAGCCGCAGAGGUCGUGCGGAGCAGAUUUGAUUAAGUGAAACAAAGCCCCAGCUGCUGGAGCAGAGGUUCCACUUGGGUUCCACAGACACCCACAGCCCAAAUCCCUGGAGGCCUAAGGCAAUAGCUAAUUGAGACUAUGCAUCACUAUUAAGGCAUCUUCACUAAAGGGCGCUGUGGAAACGCUGCCUGAGAUGCAGACACCUGUCAGAAGGGGGCUAAAUUUCAAACAAGGAACGUGGUGUUGCAUCACAAUAAAAACAGAAGAAACACACGUGUUCUUGUGUGUAAACCCAGUCCAUGGAAGAGACCGUCUGCUUGUCCCUCCUGAUCUCUGGGCCCAGACAACCAGUAGUCACCAUUCCAAGUGAGGGGUGGCUGCAACUCUACAGCCCCGUUCGUCUCUCCUCACUGUCAAAGCUGCUGAGACCCCAGACUCGACACUUGAAAGAAACCCAUGUCUGUGAAGCACUUGUGGACCAUUCAAGAUUGUGGAAGAAUCACUCAAGAGAAGGAGAUAGGUGAUGGGAUCUAGCUUCUGAUGGUUUCUAUUUUAUUGAAUGUCUAAUAGGGCAAGAAUUUGAAAAACGAGAAUGUUUGCCAUGCAGGAGGACCUGGGAAGGAGAUAACACAUUUACAGGGAGAAAGAUUGGGAUUCAGUUGGGAGGAGUAACUGAGGAAAGGGGUCACUCAAAAUAUUUUGUAUUUUAGGUCCUUUUUCUAUUAAGGAGGAAUGGAUUAUCAAAGCCUUAACAUUAAAUUGUAUUGUGUCAGGUGAAUUGCUAUGGUUUGAAUGUGGUGUGUCCCCCUCCCAAACUCACAUUGAAUUUUUUUUUUUUUUUUUGAGACGGAGUCUCGCUCUGUUGCCCAGGCUGGAGUGCAGUGGUGCGAUCUUGGCUCACUACAAGCUCUGCCUCCCGGGUUCAAGAGAUUCUCCUGCCUCAGCCUCCCGAGUAGCUGGGAUUACAGAUGUUCGUCACCACACCUGGCUAAUUUUUGUAUUUUUAAUAGAGAUGGGGUUUCACUAUGUUGGCUAGGCUGGUCUCAAACUCCCGACAUCAGGUGAUCCACCCACCUCGGCCUCCCAAAGUGCUGGGAUUAGAGGAGUGAGCCACUGCACCCAGCCUCACGUUGAGGUUUAAUUGCCAUUGUAACAGUAUAAAGAUGUGGGACCUUUACGAGGUGAUUAGGCAAUGAGGACUCUGCCCUCAUGAAUGGAUUAAUGCUGUUAUCAUGGGAGUGGAUUCCUUAUAAAGGGACACGUUCAGCACCCCCUUGCUCUCUCUCUCACCUUCCGCCAUAUGAUGAUGGGGCACAAAGGCCAUCAUCAGAUGUUGGCCCCUUGUUCUCGAACUUCCCAACCUCCAGAGCAGUAAAAAAAUAAAUCACUGUUCUUUAC